rnacentral:tRNA from 1 species
GGGCGCGUAGCUCAGGCGGUUAGAGCGCUCGUUUGACAUGCGAGAGGUCGGAGGUUCGACUCCUCCCGCGCCCA